rnacentral:SRP_RNA from 1 species
GCCGGGCAUGGUGGCGCAUGCCUGUAAUCCCAGCUACUCUGGAGGUUGGGACAGGAGAAUCACUUGAACCUGGGAGGUGGAGGUGGAGGUGGCAGUGAGCCGAGAUCACACCACUGAGCUCCAGCCUGAGCAACAAAGUGAGACUCUGUCUCAA